UGCUCGAGCGCUUCCCCGAGCCGGAGCCGGGGCCCCGUGUACACCUGUGGUGUUUUCCAGAAGGGGUGUUGGGGCCUGACCUUUCACAGGACUGUAUCUGAUUCAUAAGCUGUGGCCGACAGGAGGGAAGCUGAGCAUUACUUCUGGUGGUCUUACCAUACUGAAGGGGAAAGUGGGAAUUCAGAACCCAAUAAGGAAAAGUGGCGAUGAAAGAAGAGGCCUCAAGCUUGGGCCAUUGGCAGACAGUUUCUUGGUAUCUCUCCUCCAGGAUUCUUAAGGAAGAUGCUUUGAGUUCCUUUGGAAGUCUUGUGAAGUGUGGACCCUGCAUCAAAAUAAUGUUUGUAAAUACAUAAAAUAAAAUA